AUGCAGUUUGGGUCGUGGAUACACCUCCAUGCGAACCGGGGCAGUUCCCGGAUUGCCUGCUCUAAAAUUUCGGCCUUAUCUGUCCCUGCAGGCAAUUUCUUUAGCUCUACCAUAAGCUGCCAUUCCCGCGUCGAAGAUACAUCAUAGCACCAGCCUGCCCGCUUCAUAAUGUUUUCCAGGGCGCAUUUGUCGUACGACAUCCUUUCCAAUUGCCAUAUCUUGAUAACCCGGAGGAACAAGUCCUCGUUACCAUCUAGGAUUGAUUCGGUGAUAGACUGCAGGAAUUUUCCUUCCUGCCCUGCGGGCAUCGUGUACGGAGCGGGCGCCGUACGUGGACAUUGUUCACGAAUAUCCUGUAGAGCCCAGUUCCACUCCCAAUAUUCUCCCCUGAGUACUUCCUUGGAUUUUCCAUCACGCCCGAGGUACGCUUGCGGGUGUCUACCCUGGCUGAAAUACAUACCCACU
rnacentral:sRNA from 1 species